GGAAAUUUGCCAAGUUGUUUUUAUGUGAGGAAUCCAUUUAUUCUAUGUAUUCAUGACUACACAGUCGGAUGGAAUGAUUGCCCUUCCUUAUCUGCGUAAAUUUCAUCGGAAACAGAGGGCAACUGAGACAAACAAUCUGCUCCAGUCAUCUCUAUUAGGACAUGAAGCUCAGAACACAUGGCCUAUUACAGAGUAUUCAGACACGACGCACGAGCCAUACUUAUGUUCCAUGACCAACAUGGCACUUUCAAAGGGUCCACUUGUAAGAGGAGGGUAGCAGUCCCUUCUCAUCCUGUAGCUGCGUGAACUACUCGGCUGCUUCUUUCAUCCCAUGGCUGCUUCUAUCUUGUCGUCAGCUGGCACUGGCAACCUGCAUAUAGGAUGUUUUUCUGAUCUUUUUGCACUCAUUAAAUACAGCUGUCACAAUAGUGAGUACAAGCAUGCAUGCCAAACUUUGUAUGCCACGUCAAAAUAAAGCAGAAACAUUUUUUUAAAAUCUGAAA